CCGCUCUUAGCUCAGUGGUAGAGCAUCUGACUGUAGUUAUUUGGUUAUCAGAAAGUCGCCGGUUCGAUUCCAGCAGCGCGGA